CCCUGAAACAAUGUCAAUUUCUCUGGAAAGACUUUCGUAGGGGAAGGCGGAGUAAACUUACGAACAUUACUCGUAAAGUACGUCUUUUAAACAUUAUUAGAACAAACUUCACAAAGGCUGUGAUGGUAUUGGUAGAACAAAAUAAUUGUUUAAAAAUAAUUAUUUCAUUGAUAUGUGAUGUUACUUGCGCUAGUUACACACGUUACUUUGAUAUUUCCUUGGAUUUAAAUAGAAGAGGCCCGAGUGGCAAUGAGCAACGGGAAAAGUUGCCCGAAGCGAGACUAAAAGCUAGAAGCACUUCAAGUCGUCAGGUACAGAGGUUAUAUUCCAGCUUCUGUGAAAGAAAUCUCAUUGAUCCUUUGGUGGCGUGCGAUUAUCUGGCCUCUCGAGUCUGACAAUGGUGCUCGUCCAUCAACUUAUAACAGUAAAGACUCCCUCUGGGGCGUUUAAUUUCAGUUCUUCAAGAAUAACAUUGGUUAUACGACGAAUAGAAAGGAAAUAGUACGCCAGAUACAGAACCAAUGAAAGAAUAGAAGAACUGAGAUGAAACGACUAAGCAAACGGUACAAGCGAAUCGAGUAGGACGUUAACGAUGAUAAGAAGAUAAACGAUAAAGGAAAUAAAGAAACAGAGUAAACAAAUAUUCUCAAUGCGAUUGUAAUAAAUUUGAACGCGCAAGCAAAUUAAUUCAAAAAAUUCAAACAUGCCGUUUGAAUAUUUAUUAGAGGAUGUAACGUGAAAUGGAUUGUAAAUUAAAUUAAAUUCUUCCACGACUAUAUUAUACUCCGUCAUUCGUAAAAUCGUGUUGAAAAAUCGAUUUCUACGAAAAAGUCGCAAUUUCAGUUUUGACUCAAAGGGAAAAGUUCCAUUACACUACUGUGGACGAAUCGAUGCACCCAUAAAAAAAUCCUGUCAGCGGAGAACGGAACUCAUUAAACCAUGCAAUUUUCCCUUUUUUGUUUUUUCCUUAUUUUUAUUCGGAACGGAGCUAGGAUCGCUCUGUACAUAAACGAAUUUAGAAUAUUUCGGCCAGAUCUCUACUACUUCUACUUAAGCAAGAUUGUUGCAACAAAUUUAUAAGGAAGAAACUUACUUGAUUUAAUUAAAAAUUUCAAUGUUAUCGCUUGAUACAUUUCCCCUCCUUGUACGUAGUAAAUGUAUAGUUUUGUCUUUUUUAAAAAUGAUAUAGUUUGAAUAAAGUUUAUGUCACAUUAAUUGUAAAAUUAUUAGGCAAUAAAAAGCAAUGAAACCUGAA